AAAAAAGGGGCUCGAUAUUAAAUCGAGAAAAGUAUGAUUUUUUUAUAAGUUUAAAAAUGGUUUUGCAUGCAUGAUGAACUUAAUAGACAACAAAUCUGUGAUAAUGAAACUAUGAAAAAUAAUGAAGCAUAAACAUAACAAAAAAAGAUAUUAACAAAAUACUAAAAUAAAAAAUGUUAAAAGAAGAUAAAAAAUAAAAUAAGAAACAAAAAGUACUACACAUGAGUAUUGAACCCUCUCCACUUAAUAUUAUAAAACUAACUUCUCUCCACUAGGCCAUUUAUCACUAGUUAUCAUCUUAAUGCUAUUUUAAAUAUAUGAACCAAAAUAGAUUAAACAUUAGAAUAAAAACUAAAAUAAAAAAAAGAGUCUGUUGGACUACCGGUAGUUAAACCCAGCCGCCUGGCUGUUGGGUUUUUCAAGGGAAUAUGAAUCGGAAAAAGGAAAUAUUUAUUAACUACUUAGGAAUUUUAAACGUGUUUUUUAAUGUUUUCCCAAAGUCUAUUAUGCUAGCAAAAU
rnacentral:lncRNA from 1 species